GUUAGGAAUAUUGGACAAUGGGCGCAAGCCUGAUCCAGCCAUGCCGCGUGCAGGAUGAAGGCCUUCGGGUUGUAAACUGCUUUUGUACGGAACGAAAAGACUCCUUCUAAUAAAGGGGGUCCAUGACGGUACCGUAAGAAUAAGCACCGGCUAACUACGUGCCAGCAGCCGCGGUAAUACGUAGGGUGCAAGCGUUAAUCGGAAUUACUGGGCGUAAAGCGUGCGCAGGCGGUUAUAUAAGACAGAUGUGAAAUCCCCGGGCUCAACCUGGGAACUGCAUUUGUGACUGUAUAGCUAGAGUACGGUAGAGGGGGAUGGAAUUCCGCGUGUAGCAGUGAAAUGCGUAGAUAUGCGGAGGAACACCGAUGGCGAAGGCAAUCCCCUGGACCUGUACUGACGCUCAUGCACGAAAGCGUGGGGAGCAAACAGGAUUAGAAACCCCGGUAGUCC
rnacentral:rRNA from 1 species